UUGGCCGCCGCCUGGAGUUGGCCCUGAGGGACGGUGGGGCCGCUCCCCCUCAGCGAGGAGCGCCACCGGGCCCUCCGUCCUCCGCUUCCCGCCGCCUGCAGGCAGGACGGGUUGCUCCCCUGCCGGGUUGCUCUGUCUCAUAGCAGUCGCCGCGGAGAACCUCGAGGCAGGCCUCGGUUCUUCCCAAGUAAACGCCUUCCUCUGUGGUCUUGCAAAGUCUUCCCAGCUUCUCCCCUUGCUAAAGUUUCCCUUACACAUCUUAAGAGGGGAAAAAAAAAAAAAAGGAAGAGUUCGGUUAUGGACCAAAGAGAACUAGAUCUUUACAGAACGAUUUCUCGUGGAUGAACACGGAGGCAUUCCCCUCACACACAGGAGAACAGACACAGAUGGUGGAUAGUAGAAAUAAACCCAGUUUGCAUUCCAUGCAAACAUGCCCAAAGACACCUGGAGAGAACUGUGUGUUGUUCAGCAGGAUGAGUACAAAGCAAGGAGGCAUGCCAUCCCCACCACCCCACUGAUGCUGCAGAAGGCCCUGCAGAAGGUCAUACAUGUGGUGUGUCUGCCACAAAUCCAGGUCUGGGGUUAGUCCUGAACUGGUCAACAGGCAGAGGCUACAAAGCAACUGACUCAAUUCACAAAGUGCAAUGGUAUCUUGAUAUGAGGUGAUGUCUGUCUGGAAAAGAAGCAGCUUUCUGUAAAAGCAGAUGCUCAAGUAAGCCUUAUGCUUUGAUUCCACACGCAAUUCUCUCUCUACUAAUGAAUGAAGGAGACUUACAGAGAGGCAUCAGGAACAACAGGAAGGAUACAUCUGGCUACCUAACACAUCAGUGGGCAACUUUUGAAGGCAAGAAGAUAGAAGCCCUCUGGGGUUUUGAUCUUCCUUCUUUCUGAGAUCAUGACAUGCUUGUCAUUUGUCAGCUAAAAAAAAAGUAAAAUCAUCCUAUGGAGUGAACACGCAGUUCAUGCACUACAGAGAAGUACUGCUAUAUCACACCACAUGUGUCUGAGGAGCUGAGCCUAGAAGCAAUGUGGCCAGCUUUCAGAGUUCCUAAAUAUGCAGUUUAAUAUAAUCAACAAGCGGAGAGAAAUCCCAUCCCAAUCUUCAAUAAGCAUGAGAAAUAAAGCAAAUUUUUACUCCUUACAGCCUGACACCAUCCCUAAAUUUAUUAGAGAAAAUAAUCCACUGAAACUAUAGUUCUUAACUUUGCUUUUACAGAAAAAGAAUCUAUCCAUGACCAAACUCCAGACAAAUAUAAGAAUAAAAGCAGGGCCUACUGUGGCAUCUCCUUCUCAUCCAGGAUACAAUACAGCCAGCAUGGUGUGCCAUAUGCUUUUACACUGUGGAUCUGCAACUAGAAUAAUACAAAAAUCAGUUAAUAUCACUGGAAAAGCUAACCAAAAGCUAUGGGUGCAUACUGUUUUAAGACAAGUCUUUGAGAUACAGAAUGCAACACAAGCUGCAGGUUUUCAUUGUUUAUCUGGCUGCCCAUUCAAAGCCUCAGCUAUAAGCUUAACCAGGAUACAUUUUCAUGAAAGAAUGUACACAGAAAUGAAACACUGACAUGUUCCCUGCAAAAAUAUUCUGUGUGAUGCACUAUCAUUCCAAAGACAAUUCUCUUUCAGAAAGAUUUGCAUCUGCACAAAUAUAUGUUUCUCUGUUAAGAUAACAAGCUUUUUAAAUGCAAAUAAACAUAGAUAGCUACAGUUGAUGUGACAAAAAUAAUUUGAAAAUGGUCCCAAACUGAUAACUUCAAAUACAGAAAAUAUAUUAACUAGAUUCUAACAAUCUUCUUUCAUCAUCAUUCACUUCAGUACUGUCCAACAAAAUAGUUCUAAAGUAGUACCAUCUGCACUAACAGGAGAGAAAAAGUCAUUUGCAAGUUUUCACAGCCCCUAUUUUCUGCUCCUGACCUUGACACACCGGUCUAUGCCACCAUCCCAAACUUGGCUCACACCAGUUUUUGCUUAUACUUCAAAUUGCAUGCCAUUAAAUCAAAGCUCAAGUGUGUUACUCUUCAGUUUUAUGUGAUUGUGUUUCAGCAUAUCAAGAUGCAUCAGAUUGUGCCAGCUUGAAACCUGCAUGAAUACAAUGGAAAGCACAGUAAUGACAGCAGAGCAGCAAGGUCCUAGGCUGCAGCAAGUGAGGACUUGCUCAAAUACAACAGCUGUGAGUGCAGAAAUACAAGAAAGAAGUUGCCUACCUUAAGGCUUCAGGUAGGCAGGGACCUCCAGCAAGAUCCCCUUGCCUCUACUUUAAACCCUUCAGUGAGGUCUGGGAAGGGGUGGAUGCUGGCUCUACCCUUUCCAAUCACUCAGGUACAUUGCAUGCACCUCAGCUUCCCUGGGUUGGCCCUGCCUUUCCACCAGGUGCUCAAUCACUGCUUCAGGCCAUGACCUAGCAUUUCCACUACAAAGUACAUUAUGAAUUUUCAGAAAUUCAGCUAAAACCCUAAGUAUAUUACCUUCAGAUAAAAACCAUGGAUCUCUGAACAAUUGUAUUUCUGAAAUACCUUGGCAUGCUGCAAUCAAAAGCUUCCUUGUCAGACUGUUAUUUCUGUGGUAAACAACACUCAGCAUCAUAAAGCAAACAGCAAUACUACCUUGAGGCAUAGGGAAAGACAAGCAAAACUGAACAAGAAAGCAGAAAAUCAUGAAUAACUGCUUUCCAACCCUUUACUAGCCUUUCCAGUUUCUCCUUUCAAGCUUCCGCUAGCUUUGGCAGGAGAUUUGCAUUCCUAGAGAUCUCCAAUGAAACACUAUAAAGUAUCAGGUGAAGACAGGGGAACCUGUAUUCCUGAAUUUGUAUAUUGCUUUAACUACACCAGUAGCUCUUACAUCCUGUGCUUAUUUAGAUAAGGUAAUACAAAACCAGAAAUAUAUGGGGUACUUUUGGGACAUCAGAUUCACAGUCAUGCUAUAUCUAUUCUUACCACCACCAUGCUUUACUUCAACAGAUUCCAUCUAUUACUUUAUUUUAAUUUAGCUAUUAGCCUGCCUGAAGAAAGGACUCAUUAGAGACCAAACUGUCCACAUGGCUGUUUUCCUAAUGAGCAGUGGCUCAUUACAA